GCUGUCAUCCACCACAAACUUGAAUUGGUAAAACUGCUCCUCUACAGACCAAGCACAAAGUAGCAUGCAGACGAUGAGAAGCACCAAAGCAGGAUGCCUCCACCAAGAAGCUGCACGGACUGAAAAAUGAAUAUAAGAAAAGCAGAAAAACGAUGUUGGCAGUUUAUCAGAGAGGAAAGAAAAACAGGCAGAAAGUAGACUACAAUCCCUUUUUUCACUACAAGUACCAGGCUAAAUACCAACAUCUGAUUGGUCAGCUAAACUCAUGGUUAAUGAACUACAAUGAGCCAGAAUCAUUUUAAACCAAUCACCAGUCUCAGCUUUGAUGGGGAUCCCGCCCAAUCACAGCAUUUGUACUGACAUCUAUGAUUCGAACUACUGACCUGCUGUGAAACCCGACCACCUGAAUGUUGGACCACAACAAGGAAUCAGGACAGCAAACUCCCAUGACGCCCAUGUGGGUGGCAAAUCACGCAGCCACACCUUGCCCCAUCCUGUCCAGCGACUUUCUUUUUCCAUCUCGUGAAUCUAAGAGAGAAGACAAAAUCAUGGCUCCUCUGAGGAUGUUGUGAUUGGGGAAUAAAAGCAGCGUUGUGCUGAUAAGCAGAUAUGCCGAGCCUGUUAACAGCACAAAGUGUUGGACCAGAAAGAGUGGAGGCAGAUGAAGAAAGUAGUCACUGGCUGUGGGUAAUGUAACGCUGACAAUGAUUCACACCUCUGGGUCGGACGCCACCACGGUGACGCAGCCCGGUUGACUUGAAACACAAUGCUUCCUAGUGUGAAACACGAGGAAGUGGGCAACGAUGCAGCGAAUCUGCCAAGCAGUUUAGAUCGUGACCGAAGAUGGCGAUGUGUCGGUGCAGCCAAAAAUCUCCUUCACAGUCGGAGUGCUGUGCGCGCAGAUGCCUCAGGGGUCUCAAUAAAUGCCAAUAAAUGAUUUAAAAACAUGGCGAUCUUGCUCCUGCUCUCACUCAUCGCCAUUGGGUUCAGAAUGUGCCGAUCCUGGCAUUGAUCCUUCAUUAAAAAUUUUGAUCGUGUUCAAGGUCUGUUUAGAUGGCGAGGUGUCAGACUGGACUUCCAGGGAGUGAUCUAAGAUUAGCAGCUAAAUGUGCAGAGAAACAAACAAACUUUCUGAUCGCUGCUUGUGCAGUAAAAAUGUCGAAUAAAAAAGUUCUCUCCUUUUUGCACAUUUCACAUUUUGCAGAUCCAUCCAGUGACCCAGUUCAGGCCUCCUGGCAGAUCAGUCUGACACCCCUGACCUGCAACACACAUGGCUCUAUCACAGCCCAUGCAGCACACGCCCCUGUUCCCGCUAUUGUGCUUGUUUAAUCACAUUUUGAUUUCU